rnacentral:rRNA from 1 species
GACGAACGCUAGCGGGAUGCCUUACACAUGCAAGUCGAACGGAGUGGCGAACGGGUGAGUAAUGUAUCGGAACGUGCCCAGUAGCGGGGGAUAACUACGCGAAAGCGUAGCUAAUACCGCAUACUAUUGGAGCGGCCGAUAUCGGAUGAACUAGUUGGUGGGGUAACGGCUAACCAAGGCGACGAACCGUAGCUGGUUUGGGUGGACGACCAGCCACACUGGGACUGAGACACGGCCCAGACUCCUACGGGAGGCAGCAGUGGGGAAUUUUGGACAAUGGGGGAAACCCUGAUCCAGCCAUCCCGCGGGUGCGAUGAAGGCCUUCGGGUUGUAAAGCACUUUUGGCAGGAAAGCGGUACCUGCAGAAUAAGCACCGGCUAACUACGUGCCAGCAGCCGCGGUAAUAC